AUUGAACGCUGGCGGCAGGCCUAACACAUGCAAGUUGAGCGGCAGCGGGACCUUCGGGUUGCCGGCGAGCGGCGGACGGGUGAGUAAUGCCUAGGAAUCUGCCUGUUAGUGGGGGAUAACGCGGGGAAACUCGCGCUAAUACCGCAUACGUCCUACGGGAGAAAGUGGGGGACCUUCGGGCCUCACGCUAACAGAUGAGCCUAGGUCGGAUUAGCUAGUUGGUGGGGUAACGGCCCACCAAGGCGACGAUCCGUAACUGGUCUGAGAGGAUGAUCAGUCACACUGGAACUGAGACACGGUCCAGACUCCGACGGGAGGCAGCAGUGGGGAAUAUUGGACAAUGGGCGAAAGCCUGAUCCAGCCAUGCCGCGUGUGUGAAGAAGGUCUUCGGAUUGUAAAGCACUUUAAGCCGGGAGGAAGGGCUGUAGGCGAAUACCCUGCAGUCUUGACGUUACCGGCAGAAUAAGCACCGGCUAACUUCGUGCCAGCCGCCGCCGUAAUAC
rnacentral:rRNA from 1 species